rnacentral:rRNA from 1 species
AGAGUUUGAUCAUGGCUCAGAACGAACGCUGGCGGCAGGCCUAACACAUGCAAGUCGAGCGCGCCCUUCGGGGUGAGCGGCGGACGGGUUAGUAACGCGUGGGAAUAUACCCGACACUAAGGAAUAGCCUCUGGAAACGGAGAGUAAUACCUUAUACGCCCUUCGGGGGAAAGAUUCAUCGGUGACGGAUUAGCCCGCGUUAGAUUAGAUAGUUGGUGGGGUAAUGGCCUACCAAGUCUACGAUCUAUAGCUGGUUUUAGAGGAUGAUCAGCAACACUGGGACUGAGACACGGCCCAGACUCCUACGGGAGGCAGCAGUGGGGAAUCUUGGACAAUGGGCGCAAGCCUGAUCCAGCCAUGCCGCGUGAGUGAUGAAGGCCUUAGGGUCGUAAAGCUCUUUCGCCAGAGAUGAUAAUGACAGUAUCUGGUAAAGAAACCCCGGCUAACUCCGUGCCAGCAGCCGCGGUAAUACGGAGGGGGUUAGCGUUGUUCGGAAUUACUGGGCGUAAAGCGCGCGUAG